rnacentral:rRNA from 1 species
GAUGAACGCUGGCGGCGUGCUUAACACAUGCAAGUCGAACGAAGCACUUUUGAUUCUUCGGAAAAGAAAGUGACUGAGUGGCGGACGGGUGAGUAACGCGUGGGUAACCUGCCUUAUACAGGGGGAUAACAGUUGGAAACGACUGCUAAUACCGCAUAAGCCGACAGGGCCGCAUGGCCUGGUUGGAAAAGAUUUAUCGGUAUAAGAUGGACCCGCGUCUGAUUAGCUAGUUGGUGAGGUAAUGGCUCACCAAGGCGACGAUCAGUAGCCGGCUUGGGAGAGUGAACGGCCACAUUGGGACUGAGACACGGCCCAAACGCCUACGGGGGGCAGCAGUGGGGAAUAUUGAACAGUGGGGGAAACCCUGAUGCAGCAACGCCGCGUGAAGGAAGAAGUAUUUCGGUAUGUAAACUUCUAUCAGCAGGAAAGAAAAUGACGGUACCUGACUAAGAAGCCCCGGCUAACUACGUGCCAGCAGCAGCCGCCG